UAUUAAAACCUUCAUUCAUCUCUACUGUUAAAAACUGGGGUGGCUAACAAAAUAAUUAGAUAAUGACACAUCGCAUGCCACACAUAUCUCAUGUUGAUAUAUAGAGACUAGUUUUUAACAACAAAAAUGGAUUAUUUUUUUAACA
rfam:Gossypium raimondii Chr07_contig_916, whole genome shotgun sequence.